GUUGUCUCAGAACAUUUCAGGCCUUGGAUGGUCUAGAAGUACCCAUUUGCACUGCCAUUAAUGGUUCUGAAUGCCCCACAUCAGCCUUCGGUGUGAUUUUUGAACAUUUUUCAUUUUAAAAAAUGGCAUCACCAGGUACACCUGUGAAGAGGCAGGUCAAGGAAACUCAUGAUGAACCCGAAGUCCAAUCAUGAUAUUUUUUCCACAGGAAAAUAUUUUCAGACCUUUUCGUAACGUCCAAGGAGCAGAGAUGAAAACCAAAUCUCAGAAUGGUCUGAAUUAUGUGCCUUGACUUAAAAGAUGAGUUCUCAGUCGUGGCAAACCCAAAGAGAGGCAAUUUUAAUUUGGCAAGCUCUGUACAAAUCCAAUCACCAUUUGGAACUCCAGGAGGAUUGUUCUACCUUGAUGAAUAACAAGAUGCAUUGGAAUGUGCUUGGGAUUGUUCUUUCAGCCCUGGCAGAUCAUAAAGGGUGCUCUUCAGGCCUCCCUCAUUCUGCGCCUCAUAGAUACAUCAAGAGUCCUCUUACACUAAAGAGCAAAACUUGAAGCCAUCUCCAGAAUUCUAAUUUUUGUGCAUCAGCAUCUGGAAA
ensembl:lncRNA